rnacentral:rRNA from 1 species
UACGGGGGGGGCAAGCGUUGUUCGGAAUUACUGGGCGUAAAGGGCUCGUAGGUGGCCAACUAAGUCAGACGUGAAAUCCCUCGGCUUAACCGGGGAACUGCGUCUGAUACUGGAUGGCUUGAGUUCGGGAGAGGGAUGCGGAAUUCCAGGUGUAGCGGUGAAAUGCGUAGAUAUCAGGAAGAACACCAAUGGCGAAGGCAGCUCUCUGGGACGGUACUGACACUGAGACGCGAAAGCGUGGGGAGCGAACAGG